rnacentral:rRNA from 1 species
CCUACGGGUGGCUGCAGUCGAGAAUCUUCGGCAAUGGGCGCAAGCCUGACCGAGCGACGCCGCGUGUGGGAUGAAGGCCUUCGGGUUGUAAACCACUGUCAGAGGGGAUGCAUAGCCUCAGAGGAAGGACGGGCUAAGUUCGUGCCAGCAGCCGCGGUAAGACGAACCGUCCAAACGUUAUUCGGAAUUACUGGGCUUAAAGGGUGCGUAGGCGGCGCGGAAAGUUGGGUGUGAAAUCCCUCGGCUCAACCGAGGAACUGCGCCCAAUACUACCGUGCUUGAGGGAGAUAGAGGUGAGCGGAACUUAGGGUGGAGCGGUGAAAUGCGUUGAUAUCCUAAGGAACACCGGUGGCGAAAGCGGCUCACUGGAUCUCUCUGACGCUGAGGCACGAAAGCUAGGGUAGCGAACGGGAUUAGAUACCCUUGUAGUC